rnacentral:rRNA from 1 species
GACGAACGCUGGCGGCGUGCCUAAUACAUGCAAGUAGAACGCUGAAGGAGGAGCUUGCUUCUCCGGAUGAGUUGCGAACGGGUGAGUAACGCGUAGGUAACCUGCCUGGUAGCGGGGGAUAACUAUUGGAAACGAUAGCUAAUACCGCAUAAGAGUAGAUGUCGCAUGACAUUUGCUUAAAAGGUGCAACUGCACCACUACCAGUUGGACCUGCGUUGUAUUAGCUAGUUGGUGAGGUAACGGCUCACCAAGGCAACGAUACAUAGCCGACCUGGGAGGGGGGUCGGCCACACUGGGACUGGGACACGGCCCAGGCUCCUACGGGGGGCAGCAGUAGGGAAUCUUCGGCAAUGGACGGAAGGCUGACCGAGCAACGCCGCGUGAGUGAAGAAGGUUUUCGGAUCGUAAAGCUCGGUUGUAAGAGAAGAACGAGUGUGGGAGUGGAAAGUUCACGCUGUGACGGUAUCUUACCAGAAAGGGACGGCUAACUACGUG